rnacentral:ncRNA from 1 species
AAAACGGGAGAGUGCCGCGUAAGAACUGCGACGGCCGCCGAAGGGGCAAAACUCUCAGGCAAAAGGACCGUUU